CCUACGGGUGGCAGCAGUGAGGAAUAUUGGUCAAUGGACGAGAGUCUGAACCAGCCAAGUAGCGUGAAGGAUGACUGCCCUAUGGGUUUUAAACUUCUUUUAUAUGGGAAUAAAAUGUUCCACGUGUGGGAUUUUGUAUGUACCAUAUGAAUAAGGAUCGGGCAACUUCGCGCCAGCAGCCGCGGUAAUACGGAGGAUCCGAGCGUUAUCCGGAGUUGUUGGGUUUAAAGGGAGCGUAGGUGGAUUGUUAAGUCAGUUGCGAAAAAUUGCGGCUCAACCGUAAAAUUGCAGUUGAAACUUGCAGUCUUGCGUACAGUAGAGGUGGGCGGAAUUCGUGGUGUAGCGGUGAAAUGCUUAGAU
rnacentral:rRNA from 1 species